UUUUCCUUUUUCCUUCCUUCGGCCGAACAUCAAAGAAUUUUAGAAAAAUUUCUUCGGUAAGCUAUUUUGGCGAAUCAACGCUUCUAUUCUCUUCCUCUCAUUCUCCUGAGCUUGGUGGCGAAGGUUCCUCCCAUGGGAAGGAAACUGCCGACCUGUGAGCGCGUCGCAAGGCGAGACGACGGGUUCAGUGAAUGGUUUAAUUGUUAAUUGCAUAGAUUUAAUAAGAGUUGCAACGUUGGACUGGGUUGUGCUGGGCAGACAUUAGACUGACCUACCUUUUCUUCUUGUCUAGGUUAGUUUGCAGUGUGCAUGUAAAUUCUAUGGAUCCACUAUACUUGACUUUUGUGUAUUAUUCCUAUAUUUGUAUUUUCUGGUUGUAUUUGGAACCCUGGCUGGUUCUGUAGUGGAGGUUGUCUCCCUCUUCAGUACGUUGUGGUAGCGGGUUUGUUUUGAGCCUUAUGAUGACCAGGAGGGAGAAUGUUCUAGGGUCCACUCCUUGUUAUCUUGGCGAUUGGCACGUACCCGACUAGGGUCGGGGUGUGACAAAAGUCAUCCCAAUUAGAA